rnacentral:rRNA from 1 species
CUGCCGGAGGGCCAUUGCUAUCGGAGUCCGAUUUAGCCAUGCUAGUUGCACGAGUUCACACUCGUAGCAUAUAGCUCAGUAACACGUGGUCAAGCUACCCUGCAGACACGGACAACCUCGGGAAACUGAGGCUAAUCCGCGAUACCGAUCCCACGCUGGAAUGCCGGGAUCCACAAACGCUCCGGCGCUGCAGGAUGCGGCUGCGGCCGAUUAGGUAGACGGUGGGGUAACGGCCCACCGUGCCGAUAAUCGGUACGGGUUGUGAGAGCAAGAGCCCGGAGACGGAAUCUGAGACAAGAUUCCGGGCCCUACGGGGCGCAGCAGGCGCGAAACCUUUACACUGCACGCAAGUGCGAUAAGGGGACUCCGAGUGCGAGGGCAUAUAGUCCUCGCUUUUGAGAACCGUAAGGCGGUUCUCGAAUAAGAGCUGGGCAAGACCGAUGAAAAGCCGCCGCGGUAAUACCGGCAGCUCAAGUGAUGGCCAAUCUUAUUGGGCCUAAAGCGUCCGUAGCUGGCCACGAAAGUCCGUCGGGAAAUCCAUCUGCCCAACAGAUGGGCGUCCGGCGGAAACUUCGUGGCUUGGGACCGGAAGGCUCGAGGGGUACGUCCGGGGUAGGAGUGAAAUCCCGUAAUCCUGGACGGACCGCCGAUGGCGAAAGCACCUCGAGAAGACGGAUCCGACAGUGAGGGACGAAAGCUAGGGUCUCGAACCGGAUUAGAUACCCGGGUAGUCCUAGCCGUAAACAAUGU